GGCUGGAUCCCCAGUAGGGGGCAUGCAGGAGGCAGCUGAUCCAUGAUUCAUUGUUGAUAUUUUUACCUUUCCCUCCCUUUGCUCUGAAAUCAAUAAAGAGAUAUUUUAAAAAAUCUAUCCAUCAAGGAUUCUUGUUUCAAUUGAUAAAAUUAAUAUUCUAAUAAAAUGUUUUUAAAAUAAAAUAGCUAUCACUCCAUUUAUUCCCUGUUAACUCAUUUUAUCAAUGGUAGUGGAAAUAAUGCUGAUUUAAAAUUAUUCUCUAGGAGAGACAGAUGGGUAACAUUUUCAUCCAAUUAAACCAUUAGUAUCCAAUUGUAUCAUUAAUGGGUUCUUUCAAGUUUUGCCUCAUUAGUUUAUGAUCUAUACCUUUAGGAAAAUCUUCCAGAUUAGCAUUCCUAUUGCUCUUUUAAAAGGGAAUUAACAUGCUGCCCAAAGAACAUGAAUCUAGUAAAUAGAUUUUCUUACAGAAUAAAAAAUUGAUUGUAGGUUUAGACCAAGUGAUCCUGAAGUUAUUAAUCUUGAAAAAAUAAAAAUGUCAAUUUACUGUUCUCAAAGUCAAGUCCUUUGGCGAAAUAUGACACAUCGCCAGAUUGAUUUACACUUCGGUAAAAUCCUUCCAAAGUGCAGUGUGGCAUGACAGAUUAACUUUACUUGAUAUAUAU